rnacentral:rRNA from 1 species
UACGUAGGGUGCGAGCGUUGUCCGGAAUUAUUGGGCGUAAAGAGCUCGUAGGCGGCUUGUCGCGUCGGAUGUGAAAGCCCGGGGCUUAACUCCGGGUCUGCAUUCGAUACGGGCAGGCUAGAGUUCGGUAGGGGAGAUCGGAAUUCCUGGUGUAGCGGUGAAAUGCGCAGAUAGCAGGAGGAACACCGGUGGCGAAGGCGGAUCUCUGGGCCGAUACUGACGCUGAGGAGCGAAAGCGUGGGGAGCGAACAGG